CCAGCAGCCGCGGUAAAACGUAGGUCACAAGCGUUGUCCGGAAUUACUGGGUGUAAAGGGAGCGCAGGCGGGAAGACAAGUUGGAAGUGAAAUCCAUGGGCUCAACCCAUGAACUGCUUUCAAAACUGUUUUUCUUGAGUAGUGCAGAGGUAGGCGGAAUUCCCGGUGUAGCGGUGGAAUGCGUAGAUAUCGGGAGGAACACCAGUGGCGAAGGCGGCCUACUGGGCACCAACUGACGCUGAGGCUCGAAAGUGUGGGUAGCAAACAGGAUUAGAUACCCUGGUAGUCCACACCGUAAACGAUGAUUACUAGGUGUUGGAGGAUUGACCCCUUCAGUGCCGCAGUUAACACAAUAAGUAAUCCACCUGGGGAGUACGACCGCAAGGUUGAAACUCAAAGGAAUUGACGGGGGCCCGCACAAGCAGUGGAGUAUGUGGUUUAAUUCGACGCAACGCGAAGAACCUUACCAAGUCUUGACAUCCUGCGACGGACAUAGAAAUAUGUUUUUCCUUCGGGACGCAGAGACAGGUGGUGCAUGGUUGUCGUCAGCUCGUGUCGUGAGAUGUUGGGUUAAGUCCCGCAACGAGCGCAACCCUUAUGGUCAGUUACUACGCAAGAGGACUCUGGCCAGACUGCCGUUGACAAAACGGAGGAAGGUGGGGAUGACGUCAAAUCAUCAUGCCCUUUAUGACUUGGGCUACACACGUACUACAAUGGCGUUAUACAAAGAGAAGCAAGACCGCGAGGUGGAGCAAAACUCAGAAACAACGUCCCAGUUCGGACUGCAG
rnacentral:rRNA from 1 species